rnacentral:rRNA from 1 species
GAUGAACGCUGGCGGCGUGCCUAAUACAUGCAAGUCGAGCGAACGGACGCGACGCUUGCUUCUCUGUUGUUUGCGGCGGACGUGUGUGUAACACGUGUAUAACCUACCUAUCAUACUGGUAUAACUUCGGGAAACCGGCGCUAAUACCGGAUAAUAUCUUGAACCGCAUUGUUCAAAAGUGAAUGACGGUCUUGCUGUCUCUUCUCGCUGGAUCCGCGCUGCAUUAGCUAGUUGUUAAGGUAACGGCUUACCACGGCAACGAUGCAUAGCCGAAGUGAGAGGGUGAUCGGCGACAUGAGAACUGGGACACGCACAAGAGGCCUGAGGGACGGAGCAGAAGGGAAUGGGAGGCAAUGGGCGAAAGCCUGACGGAGCAGGGCCGAGUGAGUGAUAGAGGUGUUCGGAUCGUGAUGAUCGGUUAUGAGGGAAGAACAUAUGUGUAAGGAGCUGUGCAGAGCGUGACGGUACCUAAUAAGAAAGCAACGGCUAACUACGUG